GUAAGCUAAAUAAUUACAAAAAUACUUUGCAAAUGCAAACUGCAACGGACACACGCAGUGACAGCCGAGAACAAUAUAUACAUCGUAAAUCCUGUUUACAACUGGCUUGGGAAAGGGUGAAUGUUUGGUUUCUAAAUUGUUGAAAGCUUGUAUAACCUUCUGGGACACCUCUAGGAUGGACUCUAAAUUGUCUUCUCUCUGCAACUAUUUUUUACAUUAAAACCCAAAAUAACAACAACAAAAAAUUACAAGUCUUGAUGUUGUGGCUCAGACACCAAAUUCCCUAUAAAAUUAAAAGUAAAGGAUGAGAUGAGAGAAAUUUUGGCUUAGAGAAACACCGGUUGAGAAAGGAAAGAAAAUAUUGCUCACUUUUCCCUUAUUUCUUCUAUGUAAAUAAAUUUCCCUAUACAAUUUAUAUGGUCUUACUUUAAGUGUAUGGGAUCUUUAGAAAUCAUAGAACGCUAAGAAUAUUCGUAUGUGUAAAUGGGUACUCACUUCACAUAGCAGGUACUCAAUAAAUAUUAGCUACAAAAGAUAAAAGCAAACUAUAAGGCAUCUUUGUAGACCAUUUGGCCAACCAUCCUGCUGUUCAGAGCCGAGGAGCUGAGGCCUAGGUGGUUGGAAGACUUACACAGCUCCUACACGGGCCUGCUGAAAGUCUGGGCUGCAACUCGUUUCUUCUUACAGGUUCAGAGACUCCUCUGGCUCAUCACUGUCACAGAACCGCACUGGGCCUCAGUUCAUCACUGGAUAUCAAGAGCACCUCUACCUGCCCAGGGAUUAUCCAUCAAAGUAGAGGGAACAGGGACCGAAGACAACAAGGAACAUGGACUCAACAUCAUGGAUCAACUCAAAACAGGACAGUGUGAGGCGAGCCUGCGGAAUAGAAGUGGGAGUGAGAAGCGAGAUGAACAAGCACUACCAGAGAGCUGAAGUGCCGGUUUGCUUUCCAUAUGCUGGAUGAUGUUUGUGGAUUUUCACUGUGUGUUUCAGAGUCUUAAAAGCUCAUGCUAGCUUGCUUAACAUACCUGCUAUAACUCAUGAUACAGAACCCUAUGGAGAACUGUGUUGUAACAUGGAUGUAGUGCCUAUGCAAAGGUACAUUGCCAAGCGGAAGACUGCCAGAGAGCAUCACUAAUGGAGGUAAGCUUGCAGGGUUAAAAAGUUUCACAGAGAGAAGUUAUAACCAGAAGAUAGUCCGUUAAAUUGCAUGGAGGUGCAGCACUGUGUUCUAAAUUGGUGUACCCCAUGAAUUUAUAUGUCGAGAUCUAAUACCCAAUGUGAUAGUAUUAAGAAGUAUGGCAUUUGAGAAGUGAUUAAGCCAUGUGGUGAGGGCUUGACCCUAAUCAAUGAGAAUUGUGACCUUAUAAAACAGGCUUGAGGGAGCUCACUGGGCCUUUCUUGCAAUGUGAGGAUGCAGCAACUUCUCAUUAUCUAUUAGGCCAUUAUCAGACACCAGAUCUACUGGCUCUUUGAUGUUGGCCUUACCAGCCUCCAGAACUCCAAACAAUAAAUCUCCGUCGUUUAUCA
rnacentral:lncRNA from 13 species